rnacentral:rRNA from 1 species
UGAGGAAUUUUGGUCAAUGGGGGAAACCCUGAACCAGCGACGCCGCGUGUGGGACGAAGGGGCUUUGCCCUGUAAACCACUGUCGGGAGGGAAGAAAAGUCCGUUUGACGGACUGGGACAGUACCUCAAAAGGAAGGAUCGGCUAACUACGUGCCAGCAGCCGCGGUAAUACGUAGGAUCCAAGCGUUGUCCGGAUUUACUGGGUAUAAAGGGUGCGCAGGCGGGCUUGUGCGUCAGAGGUUAAAUACUUCGGCUCAACCGAAGAAAUGCCUUUGAUACGGCAAGUCUUGAGUGCGAGAGAGGAUGGUAGAAUUCCUGGUGUAGCGGUGAAAUGCGUAGAUAUCAGGAGGAAUACCAGUGGCGAAGGCGGCCAUCUGGCUCGCAACUGACGCUUAGGCACGAAAGCGUGGGGAGCAAACAGG